AACGAACGCUGGCGGCAUGCCUAACACAUGCAAGUCGAACGAGACCUUCGGGUCUAGUGGCGCACGGGUGCGUAACGCGUGGGAACCUGCCCUUAGGUUCGGAAUAACUCCCCGAAAGGGGUGCUAAUACCGGAUAAUGUCUUCGGCCCAAAGAUUUAUCGCCUUUGGAUGGGCCCGCGUUGGAUUAGCUAGUUGGUAGGGUAAAAGCCUACCAAGGCGACGAUCCAUAGCUGGUCUGAGGGGAUGAUCAGCCACACUGGGACUGAGACACGGCCCAGACUCCUACGGGAGGCAGCAGUGGGGAAUAUUGGACAAUGGGCGAAAGCCUGAUCCAGCAAUGCCGCGUGAGUGAUGAAGGCCUUAGGGUUGUAAAGCUCUUUUACCCGGGAUGAUAAUGACAGUACCGGGAGAAUAAGCUCCGGCUAACUCCGUG
rnacentral:rRNA from 1 species